GGGGGGGGGGGGGGGAUCUGGCUGGUCUCGUCUGGACACCUAGCUCAUCUUUGAGACCUUAUCGACAGGCUGCGUUAGCACCACAGCCUACCUCAGCAUUCACAAGAUGUGUAACUGGAUGAUUGACACCUUCGGCAACACUGAGCAGAGGGAGAAGUACUGCCCUGAGCUUUGUACGAUGGACAAGUUUGCCUCUUAUUGUCUCACUGAGCCAGGCUGUGGCAGUGAUGCUGCUUCGUUACCCACUAAUGCAAAGUUGGAAGGAGACCAUGAUGUCCUCAAUGGGUCCAAGGCACUGAUUUUAUUCAUCUCCUUACUGUAGCUGAUAUGAAAUAAUAAAUUGUGAUAUAAAGUGGAGGUAUCGCUCUCACUGUGUUUGUCCUGCUGCAGGCCUUCAUCAGUGGAGGAGGAGACAGACGUGUACAUAGUAAUGUGUCGGACGGGAGGGAAAGGUCCUAAGGGGAUCUCCUGUGUGGUGGUGGAGAAAGACACUCCAGGAAUCAGCUUUGGCAACAAGGAGAAGAAGGUGGGAUGGAACUCUCAGCCAACCAGAGCAGUGAUCUUAGAGGACUGCCACGUCCCAGUGAUCAGUCGGCUGGGUCAGGAGGGACAGGGCUUUAACAUCGCUAUGAGAGGCCUGAAUGGAGAUCUGUAACCAGGCACUCCAGAUGCAUGGUGGAUAAGGUUACCUCAAAGACUACGCUGUUCAGCAGUUUGUCCGGGACAUCAGAGUCCACCAGAUACCGGAGGGAACAAAUGAAAUGAUGCAGAUGAUAAUUGCCAGAAGUUUACUGUCAGUCUGGAUAAAUAUGCCAUGGGCUGGCCAAAAAGGGAUUUUCUCCUGUGUUGAAGGGAUGGUGUGGUGGCAGGCUUCUUGUUGUUUGACUGUAUCCCUCAAGUGUCUUGAACUCCCCCCUUUUAAAGGGGGAAUACUAUAGGCUAAAGCUGUAAUUAGGUCCUUUCCUGUUUGUGUGGAAUUAAAUAACAGCUGCUCAUUGAGGGAUAUGGAAGUGGAACCAUAUUAGAUAUGUCAUAUUUCUCCAUGCUGUGUUUUGUGGAGAAGGUUUUUGGUUAUCUAUACCAGAUGAUUCGUUCGAUGACAUCACAACCUCUCCUGCACAUUCAGUUAUGGCGGCAACAUUUGAAACAUGAGCAAGUUUGGUUCUCAUGAUUCAGUUUAAUCAUAAAACACAAUUAAAUGUAUCAUCUAGAUGGGUUGGAUGACUGAGAUUUUCUAUAAUAUUUGGUACUGCAUGAACCAUGUUUUAAAGGUCCAAUGCAGCUGUUUCUCUAUCAAAUCAUUUCUGGAUAACAAUGAUGUUGCUACAUUUUCUAUUGGAAACAAUGACCAAUUUCUCAAGCAGCUCUUACACUAAAUGGCCAUUAUAAUUUCACAGUAUUCCAACCUCAAAACACAGGAAAUCACGAUUGACUGCACGAGACCUUUUGCCAUUAAGGGAAGAAUAUUUAUGAUCUCUGUCAUUGAUGAUCUCUGUCAUUGAUGAAUUAUACAUUCCAGCUACCUAAUUGAGAUUAGUAAUAUAUUCUCUGUGUACAUAAAUGUAAUAAAACCACAAAUAUUCUUAUUAGAUACAAGUAUGGGUUGACACUUUCUUGUCUGUUCUACUGGGGUGAUCACAACUCCACAUGAACGGUUGGCGUGAGAAGAACGCUUUACAUCUCUAUGAGCAGUAAUGUGCUUAGUGUCAACAUGAUGGUGUGAGUUGAUGAGCAUACAUUCUCUCCAGGCAAACCCUCAUCAAUUGUUGUAACUGGCAUAUAAAACAUGUAUAUACAGUCGUGGCCAAAAGUUGAGAAUGACACAAAUAUACAUUUUCACAAAGUCUGCUGCCUGAGUUUGUAUGAUGGCAAUUUGCAUAUACUCCAGAAUGUUAUGAAGGGUGAUCAGAUUAAUUGCAAAGUCCCUCUUUGCUAUGCA